rnacentral:tRNA from 1 species
GCGCCUAUAGCUCAGCUGGAUAGAGCAUUUGCCUUCUAAGCAAAGGGUCGGGGGUUCGAGUCCUCCUGGGCGCGCCA